CCUCUCCAGACGCGACGCAACCCAAAGCUAGCGCGGCGGCGGCGGCUGGCCAGGUCGCGAGGACCAGGCGGGCAACCGACGACGGCGGCAUGCUGGGGGCUUAGAAGGUUGCGGCAGCAAGCUUCAGCGGUGGCUCCAGCAGCGCUCCAGCAAAGGCAGCAAGCGACGUAACCGAUGGCUCCAGUGGCGGUAGCAAGCUCCAUUGGGAUUUUCCUGGCAAUUCCUUGGUAAUUCCUCAGGGUCCGAACGAGAGACUAGUUGCAGCCACUUUGUUAGAUUACUAGAAGAUGGAUAGAAAGGGGAAUGGACUAGUAAAUCCAAAAAAAAGGGGAAGAGAUUUGAAGAAGUAUUUUGAAGUUUUGGUAGUGACAAAUCCAAGCAUCUGUGAAAGUGUCAAUAUUUCGGCACAUGCCAUUGAAAGCUUCAUUAUCGAUAUAUUUUAGGUUGUUUUCCUAUUGAAACAUGACUACAUAUUCAUUGUAUUUGGUUUUUCGUUUGUAAUUUGUCUUAACUCUUUCGAUUUGCAUCAAAAGAAUUAUUUCCUUAAGACUUCACCACACCUUAAAUUUUUUUCGUCCUCCGCC